GGUGGCUCAGUGGUAGAGCGCAUGCCUUGCAUGCAAGAGGCCCUGGGUUCGAUUCCUCAGCACCA
rfam:Dipodomys ordii contig_60985, whole genome shotgun sequence.